CUCACAGGUGUUAGAUAUUGCCCAUAAAUUACCAGCAGCUAUGGAUGACAGUGAGGAGCUGACCCCCAUCCAUCUCCGCAUUGCCAUUCAGCUCUCAGAAAGUCUAAGAGCAAAGAAGUAAACGAUGAUUUAUGUCAAUUAAUUUGCUAACCACACUGAGGAAAAACAAAAACAAAAAGCAACCUUGUUAAGCAGUGCCCCGUGGGGUUGCAGCACACCUGAUUCUACAACUCGGGCCUGGCAGUUUGUCUCUCUGAUUGAACAUUACCGUGCAGCAAACUGUUCCCCUAAAGUUGUUGCCAAGCCAGGGAAUAUGUUUCCCUGCUUCCCUGCAUGUAGGCACAGCCAUGUGACCACUGCUGUAGCAUGUGACCCGGGCCACCUGUGUCACGGGGUUGAUGCCUGUGUGCCCUCUCCUGGAUGCCUUCUCAUUCUCCUGGGAACUGCAUUUCAGGUGGCAGCACCACAAGACAAAAGCAGCUUGGGCCCUCAGGAAAGGAUGGGCUGUAUUCACCUGUUUCCUGCGAUGAUGCUGUGUUUCCCUCAAUUAAUUCCUCAUCACUUUUCUGGAAUCCUCUAAAGAUGGGGAAAGAGAGAAGAAAGACUUGCUCUUUACCAUGAUGAUGUAUUUUUCCUUUUGUUCUAUAUAAAAACAAGGAAAACAAAACAGAUGUAUACACUCCACUAGUUAAUUAUGGUAGGUAAAUACACCACAUUAGACUGAUUUCCACAGAGGAAAUUACAACUUUGCCUGUUUAUUGACCAUCGCGUAAUACCCAGCACCUAGUCGACUGCUUGGCAAUCAUGGGCAUACACG
rnacentral:lncRNA from 1 species